rnacentral:rRNA from 1 species
UAGGGAAUUUUCGGCAAUGGGGGGAACCCUGACCGAGCAACGCCGCGUGAGUGAAGACGGCCUUCGGGUUGUAAAGCUCUGUUGUAAGAAAAGAUAAACUAGGAGAGGAUCUUAGUCAGACAUUAUCUUACCAGAAAGCCACGGCUAACUACGUGCCAGCAGCCGCGGUAAUACGUAGGUGGCGAGCGUUAUCCGGAAUUAUUGGGCGUAAAGGGUGCGUAGGCGGUCUGUUAAGUUCAUGGUCAAAUUGUGGGGCUCAACCCCAUCGCGCCAUGGAUACUGGCAGACUAGAGUAUUGGAGAGGCAAGUGGAAUUCCAUGUGUAGCGGUAAAAUGCGUAGAUAUAUGGAGGAACACCGGUGGCGAAGGCGACUUGCUAGCCAAAGACUGACGCUGAGGCACGAAAGCGUGGGGAGCAAAUAGGAUUAGAUACCCUAGUAGUCCACGCUGUAAACGAUGAAUACUAAGUAUUGGGGAGACUCAGUGCUGCAGCUAACGCAUUAAGUAUUCCGCCUGUGGAGUAUGCACGCAAGUGUG